rnacentral:rRNA from 1 species
UUCCGUAGGUGAACCUGCGGAAGGAUCAUUAUCGAGUUUUGAAACGGGUUGUAGCUGGCCUUCCGAGGCAUGUGCACGCCCUGCUCAUCCACUCUACCCCUGUGCACUUACUGUAGGCUUCAGGAGCUUGCUCGGGCUUUCAUUAGUUCGGGUUUGUAACUGGGUCUACGUUUACUACAAACACUAUAAAGUAUCAGAAUGUGUAUUGCGAUGUAACGCAUCUAUAUACAACUUUCAGCAACGGAUCUCUUGGCUCUCGCAUCGAUGAAGAACGCAGCGAAAUGCGAUAAGUAAUGUGAAUUGCAGAAUUCAGUGAAUCAUCGAAUCUUUGAACGCACCUUGCGCUCCUUGGUAUUCCGAGGAGCAUGCCUGUUUGAGUGUCAUGAAAUUCUCAACCUAACAAGCUUGUAACGAGCUUGCUUAGGCUUGGACUUGGAGGCUUGCCGGCUGCUCGCAGUCGACUCCUCUUAAAUGCAUUAGCUUGGUUCCUCUGCGGAUCGGCUCACGGUGUGAUAAUUGUCUACGCCGCGACCGUUGAAGCGUUUUAUAGGCCAGCUUCUAAUCGUCUUCUUGCGAGACAAUUACUUCGAACUCUGACCUCAAAUCAGGCAGGACUACCCGCUGAACUUAAGCAUAUCAAUAAGCGGAGGAANGNAGNAGCAAACUAANCANGGAUNCCCCUAGUAACUGC